CCUGAGCCUCCCACGGGGGCGGGGCCGCCGGCGGGGCUCGAGCGGGCCCCACGGUGCGGCCCCACCCGCCACGAGCACCGACAACACGCGCGCCAACAGGCGGAGAGCCAGCUUCAGAGUUAAAGACCACCCGAGAGCUGACAAACGUGUUGCCAAAAGGAAUGACGUAAAAAUAUUCGCACUGGGACUGCGUCGGGCCAAAAUUACUUCUAGUCAGCCGCGGCCCCACGUCCCAGGGCUGAACAAACCGGUCUGCGGCAACACGAGGCUUCCCGAGCAGAUCUCCUGGGAUUCACCGGCAGAAACGUCUCCAUCAGAGGAAGCCUGUGACAUCCGCCAGGAUAAAAUCAGAAGGACAGUGACAAGUGAUAGCAAGGACGUAGAGAAGCUGGAGUUCUCCUAAGUCCUUGGUAGGAGUGUAAAAUGGUGCAGCUUCUUGUAUAAUUCAACAUCCACCUAGCAUACUCCCAGGAACCCACCCAAGAGAAAUAUGAUCACAGAGCAUGCAGACAUUCACAGCAGCACUGUUCCCACCAACCAGAACGUCCAGCAACCGCGGGGGCAUAUGCAGCAUGGAAAUGGCCACGAAAAGAAAGAAACUGCUGAGACAUGAGCCUACGUGGAUGAACCUCAAAUACGCUAUGCUAGGUGAAAGAUGCCAGACAAGAACAUUCCGUGAUUCCAUUUAUGUGACACUUCUUAAAAAGGUCAAUCUCCAGAGAGAAAGCAAAUUCAUGUUUGCCGGGGGUUGAGAGUGGGAUCAGCUGCGAACAGGCACGAAGAAACUUUUUUGGGUGAUGAAAAAAUACAACUUCGGAUGUGGAACGUAUUUUAAAACUGGAUUGCAGUGAUAGUUGCCUAACUGUAUACAUUUAUUGAAAUCGUGGAACACUUACACUGAGUGGAUCUCAUGGUAUAUUAUUUAUACCUCAAGCCGUUUUUAAAAAGUAAUAGGAUACAAAGGGAGAGAGCCUGAUUCUGGCUGAAAAGAUUAGGGAAGGCCUAAGACAAUUAUCCAAAAUGGGAAAAUAAGGCAAAAACAGGAGUAGGGGGUAUCCUUUCGAUUCAUUCCUGGGCAAUUUCAGCAUGGCUGCCCAAAGAUUAAUCCUCUAGGAGACUGUCCCUGUGCUAUUUAUUACUCCAUUGGAGCCCAGAUACUGUGACGUUACAUAUUAACUUGUAGAUAAUGUCUAAAAGAAAAGAUAAUCCCAAAGAUUA